rnacentral:lncRNA from 1 species
GGACUGGCUUGAAGUCUGCUCUGCCCCUGUCCUGGAGCAGUUUGGGGGCUGGAUGUGGAGCUGUGGGGGGAACGCAGGGUGAGCCCUCGAGGUCACGAGCUGGGGCAGAUGAGGCCAAAGGAGUCAAACCCCAAAGUGUCUGCUCCAGUUUCUGCACCUUCCCAGGCAUUGUGUGCCUCCCCUUAUCUGGGCUGAUAUUUGCAGUGCUGAUAAGAGAGGGUCUGUAACAAGUGUGCUGUGCCACAGAUAAAACCUGCAGUGCGUAAGAGCUGUUCCAGCUCGGGCUUAUCUGCACUAUGAAACCUGAAUAUCAGCAGGGCUUCGGGGAUGAGGCUGCCCUGGCUCCCUCAGCACAGAACAUUCAACCAGGGAUUGUGCUGCGAGUGCUGCUGCUCUGUUUUUCUCUGGUGCAAAAGCCAAAGGAUGAACCCUUGUUUUACUGAACACGGGUCUCCUUAGGACAGCCUAUGAGCUGUUAUGGGGAAGAAAAAAACCCCAGAAUGAAGUGAAAACUGGUUUGUCAGGAGAGAGUUGGAGGCUGCUCUGUGUCCCCCUCACCCUGGCCAAGGCUGGUGCAGUCCCUGAGGGGAUACCCGGUGUCCCCAUGGAGCAUUCAGCCCAUCCAGACUUAAAGUGCCCAAGAAUCCCAAGACAGUGGUUGGGCCCUGGCACAGGUUGUGCAAGGCAGCUGUGGCUGCCCCAUUCCUGGAAGUUGUCAAGAGAUGAGAUUGGAUUUGUCCUUCAGGAGCAUUUCCAAGGCAAAUCUGUCAUAAGCCAGGCCUAGACAGAGCAGCACGGGAGGAGAUGCUGAUCUCUCCACUUAGACUUCACUGUGGGCACGUGAGUUAAGCUGGAACUGAACAAUUCCAUGUGCCACAUUCAGGAAUAAUAAACCAUUGGCUAUUCCAAGCUUGAGGAUGUGA